CCACAGGGAUUAUUAAUUCUCCUCUUCGAGUCGCUGGAGGUGAUUUGUCUGUGGACACUGGGCUUGGAAGUGUUCCCUGCACAAGGAGAUGGUGAUUUCUCUUAGAACUUUACUUCCGCUCCUUGUGACCACAGGCCCUGGAGCAUGGAGGCUUGGUGCAGUAAUUAGGACUGAGAACCGGACCCGGGAGCUGUUCUGGGGAGAAAGUGGGCGGUCCAUCCCCUAAGGUCCAACGGAUUGGAAAGGCAAACACAGGAGAAACUAGUAUUUCUGUGUGCUUAGAGUGAUGCUUUGUGUGUCAUCUUGUCUGGAAGUCCUGGAAUAUUAUUUUUGCUAGUAAUUUGCUUUAAAAACCCUCUUUUCCAGAGGUCAAGGCUUCUUUUCCAAUUAGAAAUAAUGUUUACUGGAUAUCUGCUGAAUACAAAUCAAUACAUGUUUCCUGUGGAAAAUAUGAAAAAUUAUAAAGAAGAAUAAAGCACCAUCCAUAAUUUUACUCUACAAAGCCAACAGACAUAAUUUUGAUUUUAUAAUUUCAGUAUUUUAUGUGCACAUUUGUGUUGAAUAAAAGUUAAAUCAUAUUGAGCUUAUAUCUCUUUAAUCCGUUUUUUUU